UGCCAGCCGCCGCGGUAAUACGUAGGGAGCGAGCGUUAUCCGGAAUUAUUGGGCGUAAAGCGUGCGUAGGCGGUUUGUUAAGUCAAAUCUGAAAGCCCCCGGCUUAACCGGGGAGAGUGAUUUGAAACUGGCAGACUUGAGUAUGGCAGAGGUUAGUGGAAUUUCAUGUGUAGCGGUGGAAUGCGUAGAUAUAUGAAGGAACACCAGUGGCGAAGGCGGCUAACUGGACCAGAACUGACGCUGAGGCACGAAAGCGUGGGGAGCAAACAGGAUUAGAUA
rnacentral:rRNA from 1 species